CUCUUUUGACUUCUAGCCAUGAGGUGAAAGGUUUGCCUCACCAUGAAAUGCUGCAUGGAGUGCUGCCUUGCCACAGGCCCAACCGACCAUACACAGAAACCCCUGAAACUGUGAGCCAAAUAAACCAUUUGUUCUCUUUACAAGUUGCUAAUUUGUCCCAGUAAUGGGAAGCUAACACAAUAUUCUUUUGUAUGCAUAGAAUAUCCACUACUGAGCUACCCCCAGCCCUAAACAGUACUGUUGAAUGUUGACUAAAAUGGAGAUUGGGUUGAUUUCAUUUCUAAAUGAAAUAGUUGUUGACAACUAUUGGAUUUGGAUUCAGAGGCAGCAUGCUGCUUGCUAUUUAGUGCUGCUCAGAAUACUACACUGCAAAGUAGCUUGGGAAGUGUUAGAUUGGCUCUUGCUACGUGUCCCUAGCCUCCUGAAGGGUGGAUGUAGUAUUUCGAUUUGCCACAUCAUAUUAACUGGGACACAGUCAGUUCAGUGAAAUGCUCACAUCAUGCAUAUCUACUCUGACUUCAGAGAAGGAACAAGGGGCUUGGGAUGUGUAGAAGUUCCCAGUAACUUAUUCUUGCUCAGGUCAACUUAUGGCACUUCUACCCAGCCAAUCUGUCCUCAGGUGAAAGAAUUUGGAGUCCCAUUAAGACAGAGAUGAAACCUUAGCCAACCGCCCUAUCCCUACCCGCAUUUUACAGAUGAGGAAACCAAGGCUUCCAGAGAAGCCCCAAAGUCAGUAGAGGAAAAAGCAGGGACAAAAAAGCAAACCCCUACCACCUCACCCAAGGUGGCAGGAAGGCAGCAGAAGAGACAGCUGUCCUGGAUCUUCAAGGAGGGAUGGUUUCCAAGCAAGAGGUAUGAGCCAGCAGAAGACUGGGCAGGGGAACCCUUUAUUGGAGGGUGAGGAGGUGAGGGCAGAGGCUCAUGGAACUAGUCAUGGAAGACCCACCAGGGCCAACCUGGAGGAUUGUCAGAUUCAUGACAAGGCAGCCAGACCAAGGUGCCCACCAUCUGGUCCAUUGGCCACAAGGCAGAUUCCUGACUGCCAAGGUGACCCUUGCCUCAUGUAAACAGAAAAGAACUAUCAGCUGGGCUAGCCAGGGACAUCAGACCUGCUCCACACUCUGCAGUUUCACUUGCUGACCACUCCCACCACUACCCUGGGUUAUCUAAGGAUAAACACCCGCUGCCCCUGCCUGCGCACACCCCCCUCCCCCAGACACUUAUCAGGGCAGCUGGACCUGUUCUUCCACUGGCUGACAUGGAGACUGUCCUGGGGUGGGUCUCAGCACAGAGGCCUCUGCCCUGUGGUUGGCCAAGACAACAAAGGGAGUCCCAUACAAGCAGAGCCAGCUGAUGAGUGGCCACCACCAUUCUGAGGUCCUAAGAGAUUCUAGGGAGGCCAGUAGAGGUGGGAGUUGAGGAAGGUGCCUAGCUAGCUCUCUCCAGCUUAAGACUGCUUGAUGUAAAUUAUACUUUUUUUUUUUUUUUUUUUUUACCCUCCAGGCUUUCUUCUUUCAAAAAAACUGCUUCUAGGCAGAAGGACUGCUGGAGACCAGCCUGGGCAACAUGGUGAGACCCCCAUCUCAAAUAAAUAAUUAAAAUUAAAAAUAGGAGGUUUGGGUUGUAGCUCAGAAGUAGUAUACUUGCCUCCAAGCUUAAGGUCCUGGGUUAAUUCCCAGCACUAAAAGCAAACAAGCUUAGCUGGGCACACACCUGUACUCCCAGCCACUCCGCUUGCCUCGGGAGGCUGAGGCAGGAGGAUCACGAGUUCAAAGCCAGGCUCAGCAACUUCGUGAGGCCCUAAGAAACUCUGUGAGACCCUAUCUCUAAAUAUUUUAAAAGGUCUGGGGAUGCGGCCAAGUGGUUAAGUGCCCAUAGGGUCAAUCCCUGGUACCAAAAUAAAUACAUAAAUAGAAGCUGGGGUCAGACCUGUAAUCUCAGAACUCAGGAGGCCAAGGCAGAGGAUCCCAAAUUCAAGGCCAGCCUCAGCAACUUGUGGAGACCAGGUCUCCAAAAGUAAAAAGAGCUGGAUCGUGUCUGUGGUAGAGCAUCCCGGUUCAAUCCCCAGGACCCCAAAUCAAAUAACAGAAAGUCGUUUUCUUCUCUUACAAGUGCAGACAGCUACCCAGGGGAAUGCUGGAAGAUUUGAGGUGGAUUCUCAGACGGCAGCCGCCCCGACGGCCCAGUCCUGCCGUUGGAAGGGGAGGAAGUUCGCAGUCGGAGGCUACAAACCCCCAGUUAACGGACCUGCAGGCGGCGCCCGGCGCCUCUGCGCGGAAGGGUUCCUCCCGCGGCGGGCGGGCGGGGCGCGCUCCUUCCGCUGGCGGCGACGGCCGUGGGCGAGCGCAGGGAGGGGAGGGUCCACAGACCGGCGGGAGGAGGGCACCUCCUUUCCGCGCGCCCCGGGGUGGGAGCGCCGAGGAGCUGCUCUGAGCGGUGGGUGCGGGCCGUCAGAGCCCAGGGUGUGGCCCCGCCGGGCUUGCGCCGUCCUUCCUCUCUCAUGCCCAUUUCUUUUACACACUAUUUUUGUGCCGGGGACUGGGGACGAAACCCGGCAUCAGACAUGCGAAGCAGGCUGCUACCACUGAGCUCCAGCCGCCCCUGUAUUCCUCAUAAAUGGCCAGGUCACCUGGGCCUCUCCGCGGGAGGGAGGGCAGGGCCAGCAUGGCUUCCUAGGUCUGAAGCAGCCAGGUCAGGCGUGGAGAUGGGCACAGAGUGGGCUGGAGCUGUGGUUAUUGGGAACAUGGGGCUCAAGCUGAUGAAGGCAGGUGACCAGUUUAAUGACCCCAGUGUUGGGUAAACAAAUCUGUGGAGCAUCCAGGUGGAUGGGCUUCAGUAAACAGGAUGCUGGGAGUGAGGGCAGGAACACACUUACAAGGGAUGCUUAGGAACGGAAGGGAACUGGGCAAUAUUGUAGAGUCAAAGAGCCCAGGAACUGGGAGGGCAAGAGACCUGUGAGCGGUGGCAGGACCCUUCUCCUGUGGCCCUCUCAACCCCUUGGCUUCUGGUGGAAGCCCAUCUGUGUUGGGGCCUGCCUUCAGUCAGACAGCAGAGCAGGCACAAGCCCCUGGCCUGGGCAAACCAUGAAACUGAACAAGGACAUUCAAUGGGAGUUCCCAGGCAAGGAGCAUGUGGGUAGAUACCCCAGCAGAGAGAAGGGAGAGGUGGAAUGAGCUGGGUGGCAGCCCCCUGUGGUCUGCCACCUGAAGAGGGACCUCUGUUGUGUGUCCCAGUGAUGCUGCCGGUUAUGGGUAAGGAAUUCUGGUUUCCCACCUGUUGGAAGUUUGAACAUAAGAGAAGCACAGGGAGGCCAGCUUAUAAAGCAGGGUUUGUUUAAAAAGGAGUAACAUAGACUCCUGCAAAGGAGAAGGGGCCAUAGCUGGUAUCCGAAGAAGCGAGGUUUUCUGCCCUUUUUAUGUGUCCCAGGCUCCCUUGGUUCUCCUGCCCUCUUCCCCUUCUCUUUCUCCCUCCAGCGACUAGGCCCAGGAAUGUUGGGUGGGAGGGCCAAAGGGGGGAAACCCGUGGGCUGAAGGGGGAAGGGCAGGAUGUGCCGUGCAGCCCAGGACACGUGAACAACCUUAGAGCUCCCUGUAGAGAGGGGCAAUGCCUGGGACAGGUUACCUUGGCAACAGGUGGGAGCAGGGGCAGGUUCUUGAUGAGGGUGGAGGAAGGGCUCUGAGGGAAUUAACAUUUCAGUCCCUCUGGGGACUGUCUCCAACUUCUGGGACUCACUCACAAUUGGCCUCCUUGAUCUGACCUGACUCAAUUUACCUGUCUAUACUGACUGCCUUUCUAAUUCUGGCUUCACCAGAAGUCUGGGACUUUCUACAACAGGAGAUGGGCAGUUGAGAAAGGAAUGUGGAACAGACUCAGUUCAGCAAGAAUCAGCAGAAGAUUGCCACAGUACAGGGCCUCAGGGCCUAAGAUGGCAGGUGGACCCCUGAGCAUGAAGAGAAAGAGCAUUUCCAAGGAAAAUUCUACUUGUCUUGGCAGCCAUCAGACUAUGGGGGGUGAGGGUGAGGGGUGAGCCAAGGAUGACUCAGAAGGUUUGGAAGGGUCAAGGGUAAAUGGCAGUAUUCUGGAACAGUUUAGUGGUUGCCAGCAGUUUACUUCAGGUAUAGGUCACCUUCUCCCAUUCUGUUAGGAGAACCUCAGUGCCUCUAACCUCUGAGUACCCCCUGCAUGCCAGGUACUGAGGGCUUCCCUGGGAUGAGCUUAUGACCUCUCUCCACAUGCCUGCCAUCAGCACAGACAGGCUGAGCAGUUUGUUCAAAGCUGCAUAGUCACAAGUUGACUCCAGACCUUGUUUCCCCCACACCCCCAUGGUUCCUUUUGAAAUCAGGGCCUUGCACAUGGGAGGCACACUUCUUUCUGAAGUAUAAGCCAUGAAUCACUGCUCUUCCUAUAUGUGGUAAUUACAACUUGAUUCUAAACAUUUCUCCAAAGCUUUUGAUAAACAUCAACUUUUUUUUUUUCUUACAGUGCCAGAGGUGGAACUCAAGGACUAGUGCAUGCUAGGCAAAUCUCUACCGGUGAUCUACAUUCCCAGGUCUCAACCUGAAUUUUUUUCUUUUUUUUUUUUUUUCGUGUGUGUGUAUGUGGUGCUGGGGAUUGAACCCAUGGCCUUGUGCAUGUGAAGCAAGCACUCUACCAACUGAGCUAUAUCCCCAGUCCCCUGAAUUUUUUUUCCCCCUCGUUUUCAGUACUGGAGAUUGAACCCAGGGGCACUUUACCACUGAGCCACAUCCCCAGUCCUAUUUAUUUGUUUAUCUGUGGUGCUGGGGAUUGAACCCAGGGCCUUGUGCAUGAAAGGCAGACACUCUACAACUGAGCUAUAUCCCCAGCCCUCCCAGUCCUUUUUGUUGGGUGCAGAGCAGGCUGAAUUCUGUUGUCUGCUGGGCAGGCUGAACAGAUGUUGGCUGCAAGAUAGCCCACGCACUCAAACCCCCCUCUAUCUGGUCCUUUAUCACCUGUUUUCCUCAAGUCUGAACAUUCAACCCUGCUUAAGGCUGAACACUUAACCCCCCCUGCAGACCCAGAGGCCCCAUUAGAUUUGGGCUAUAAAAACUCCCUCCUACCAGGCCCUCCUCUCUCUCCCUCUCUCUCUUGCUCUUUCUCUCUUGCUCUUUAUCUUUCUUACGCGCGCUCUCUCUCUCUUGCUCUUGCUCUCUCCCUGUUCAUCUCUUCUCUUUUCUCUCUCUUUCCUUCUUUCCUUUCUCUUUGUUGCACUGCUGCAAUAAAGAUCUUUUGGUUGCUCCGAGUGUUGUGGUCACUUUCCUUUCAUUGGUGCCGAAACCUGGGAGAGGGUUAAAACCCACUUUUGGGGGGCCUGGAGAUGUGGCUCAGUGGCAGAGCGCUUGCCUAGCAUGCAUGAGGCACUGGGUUCUAUCCUCAGCACCAUGUUAAAAAUAAAUAAAUAAGUAAAGAUAUUUAAAAAAAAAAAAACCCACUUUUGGGUCCCUCUUCCUUCGGAAGUGCCACUGACCGGAUGACCUGAACCCAGGCCUGAACCCAUUUUCUCGACUGCUAGAACUCCAUCCACCACCGACCUUCAAUUGGUGAGUUUCCCCUUCCUGGAGUCCUAAACCCAAUGGUGGUGUCAGGAGGAUUUGGCCUUGAUUGUCUGGCAAACCUCUUUGCCCACCUGCGGGGAGGAAAACACCCCACCACAGCCUUUAAGGCUACGGUGGCCCUCAGGGACUCCUUCCUAGGGCAGAAUAGACUCCUGGGUUCAAAAUUAUUCCCUUCCCUUCCCAGCUGUUAGUUACCAGCAUAGGCUUUGUAGGUCUCCCUCGAAGGACUGUGUAACCUCCAGGGACACAUAACAGAGAACUGAACAUCACAGUCCACCCAGACCUUCACCAUCUCUGUGGCUCUCCUAAAAUCCUAGUCCUCACACCUUCAAGACUCGGCUGCUAGAGAGUACCUUACCCUCCCCUUCCUCUCUCUUUCCCUGUCUCUCUCUUUCCCCUCUUUCCGGCCCUGCAAGUCUCUGGCCUCUCCAGGAGGGGUCCCAAAAAGAAAAGCCUUGGGCAAGGUCUCCCACGGCUCCAGCUCCAUCCAGGACGAGAGCUUCGACUGUCAGGAUUCGGUGAUGACCAAUCUCUGCAGCUCGAACCUGCCACUAAGACACUCCUGAUUUUUGGCUCUAGCGGGGACGCCCCUUUUGCCAAUAAAUCAGUUUCCUCCUUCUCUCUUAUACUACGGUUGCGUCUCCUUCCUUCUCCUCUAUACCAAGUUUGCAUCCCCUUCCCUCCUCCUUAUACUACUUUGCGACACGGGUAAUGUGUCCUCUCUGCCGGUCGACUCUCCCCUACAAUGCCUCUUGGAUAACCUCAAAACCCUCUCCUUGACACCAGACAUCAAACCCCCAAAAUUGAUCAAAUAUAGCACCCAGGCCUGGCCCACUUAUCCCUUAGACAACCAAAGCAGAUGGCCCCCCUUUUGGGUCCCUGGAUCCCUCCAUUCUAAGGGAUCUCUACAAUUACUGUGAGCAUUCGAAAAAAUGGGUAAAAAGCUGCUAUAUCAAAGCUUUCUUCUUGCUUGUGCUCUCUGCACCUCUGCAAAUUCUUCUAGCUUGCAAACCAACACCCACAACCACUGAUCCCCAAUCUCCUCUUCCUCCGGACUCAUCCACUACUUUUGACCCUCCUGAUGAAUUUCCACCCUAUCGCCCGGCUCAAAUAGGUCCUCACCCUCAACCUUCUGCCCCAGCCCCUCCACUGUCUCCCCCACCUGAACAACCUGACUUCUCCUCUCCACUCACUAGAUCAAAAACCUAAACAACCGUCUUUCCUCAAAACAUUGCCUCUUUUCUGAGGUAGCAAGUACUGAAGGAAUCCCUCUACCCAACACUUUUUAUUUUUAAAUUUUAUUUAUUUAUUUACUUACUUAAAAUACUUUUUAGUUGUCAAUGUGAAGCCAGAUUUAAAGAUAGAUAGUCAGUGUAGAUAGAUAAAUUGAGUCAAAAGAACUAGGAGGACAAUUUUAAGUUACUCUGAGAAGUUGGACACUGUCCCCUGAGGGAUCUUAUGUAGAACCUGCCCCUGCUCCAACCUGUUGCCAGGGUAACCUGUCCCAGGAAUUGCCCCUCCCUCCAGGGAACUCUAGGGUUGUUAAAGUGUCCUUGUCUACUCCACCUGCCCUUCCCCCUUCAGCCCACCUGGUUCCCACCUUUUGGCCAUCCCACCCAGCACUCCUGGGCCUAGUCACCACCUCCACAAGAAGGAGAAAGAUAAAAGGGAAAAAGGCAGGAGAACAAAGGAAUCCUAGGAUAUAUAAAAAGGGCAGAACACCUCGUUUCUUGGGAUACCAGCUAUGGCCCCUUCUCCCUUGCAGGAGAAGUCUAUGUUACCCCUUUUUAAAUAAACCCUGCUUCAUAUGCUUUCCUAGGUGUGCUUCUUUAAUGUUCAAACUUCAACAUGUGGGGAAGCAGGACUCCUCACUCUCACCAAUAACCAGUGGUAUCAAAUGAACCUUUAUUUUGUUUAUAUACAGUGCUGAGAACCAAACCCAGUGCCUCACACAUGCUAGGCAAGUGCUCUACCACUGAGCCACAACCCCAGCUCAGUCCAUUUUAUUUUGAGACAGGGUCUUAAGUUGCUUAGGGCCUCCCUAAAUUGCUGAAGCUGGCUUUGAACUUAUGAUCCUCCUACCUUAGCCUCCAAAGUCCCUGGGAUUACAGGGAUGUACCAUCACAAUGGGCUCCUAAGCAUCAAUUUUUAAUUUUUAUUGUACCAGGAAUUGAGAGACACUUUGGUACCAGAGGUCAUUAACCACAUCUCCAGUCCUUUUUAUUUAUUUUAGAGUCUUACUACAUGCUUAGGGUCUCCCUAAAUUGCUGAGGCUGGCUUUGAACUUGUGAUCCUCCUGCCUCAGCCUCCCAAGCCAUUAGAAUUACAGGUGUGUGCCACCACACCUGGUAACAUCAAUUUUUAGAAAACUGUUUUGUGAGGUACAGUUGACAAGCAAUAAACUGAGUAUGUUUAAAGCAUAGUUUUUUUUUU
rnacentral:lncRNA from 1 species